rnacentral:rRNA from 1 species
AAACGAAGCGAGUAACGCGUGCCUAACCUGCCCUUAAGAUGGGAACAACUACGGAGACGUAGCUAAAUCCCAAUAUGCUCACGAUGGUGAAAUGCCGAUGCGAGGAAAGAUUUAUCGCUUAAGGAGGGGGGCGGCGUCCUAUCAGGUAGUUGGUUGAGGUAACGGCUCACCAAGCCUAUGACAGGUAGCUGGUCUGAGAUGAUGUCCAGCCGCGAUGGGACUGAGAUACGGCCCAUACUCCUACGGGAGGCAGCAGUGGGGAAUCUUGCACAAUGGACGAAAGUCUGAUGCAGCGAUCCCGCGUGAAGGAUGAAGCAUUACGGUGUGUAAACUUCUUUUUUGGUGGAAGACGAAUGACGGUACACCAAGAAUAAGAGACGGCUAACUACGUGCCAGCCGCUGC